AUGGACGGAGAUCGACGGAUGCCGGCGGUCGCGGCCGCGGCCGCGGCCGCAUCGACGGCAUCGGUGCUUGACGACGACGACCUCCUCCGCGAGAUCCUCCUCCGCCUCGGCUUCCCCACCUGCCUCGUCCGCGCCGCCCUCGUCUCCAAGCGGUGGCUCCUCCACGCCUCCGACCCGGCCUUCCUUCGCCGAUUCCGCGAGCGCAACCCGCCCCGCCUCCUCGACUUCUGCCUCGGCUUCUCCGGCAGGUACCGGUUCGUGCCGUUCCCGCCGCAGCCCCCGGAGCUCGCCGCUCCCAUUCGCCGGGCGACUUCCUCCUGCGCCGCCGCCUUCGCCCGCAGAAUCCUGCCAAUCAAGCACUGCCGGAACGGCCGCCUCAUCAUAGAGUUCUUCAACAAAGGCAGAUUCGAUUACUCCCUCGCUCCGCUGCUCGCCGGGGAGGCCGCGGCCGUCCUCCCGACGACCCCGCUACCCCACCUUGACUGGGACACCACUCAAGAUAGAUUCGUUGAGAUGUUCUUGCCCGAGGAUGGGGGCCGCAACGGCAUCACCUUGCUGUAUCUCUGGGCGGUCCGGCGAAAAGUGUACGCCGAGUUGUACGUCCUGGGAUCCGGCGGAUGGGGCGUCCCUGCCACCGCGGCAGAGAUUGAGCUCUCGUUUGACGCAGACUUCCUUGAAAUUCUACCACCCAUCCAUGGCAAGGUCUUCGUGGUGACCGACUCUCGGUACGCCCUGGGUUUAGAUUUGGCAGCGGCGAGCUUCUUCACCCUUGAGUUCCCAGUUGGAGUGCGCCACAAUUACAACCUCUCAUGUGCGGAGGAUUCCGGGCUCUAUCUUGUCAGUGCAGACGGGUUUCAGCUCAGUGUGUGGCUCCAUCCGAUGUCGGGCGAUGGCAAUGGUGCAGGCUGGCUGCUGGUGGACACAUUUUGUGUCCGUGAGGCUGAGGCUUGUGCACGUCUUGUAAGGGACCGUUGGAUCCCUCCCGGUAAUUAUCUUGAUGUUGCUGCGGUCGGGGACAAUGCCGAAUUUGUGUUCUUGGAUCAUACAGCAAGUGGCACUCUCUUUUAUGUUCAUCUGAGGAGCAGGGUAGUUGAGAAAGUCCAUCAGAGGGUGCCAGAAAAAUGCUAUGAACCUCCCCAAAUAGCUCUCUCUCCCACUGUGAUGAUCUGGCCGCCAAUUUUCCCUGCACGAGAGGUAGGACAUGAUCAAGAGGAAUGA
rnacentral:rRNA from 1 species